rnacentral:rRNA from 1 species
UUACCUGGUUUGAUCCUGCCAGUAGUCAUAUGCUUGUCUCAAAGAUUAAGCCAUGCAUGUCUAAGUACAGGCCGAAACAAGGCGAAACCGCGAAUGGCUCAUUAAAUCAGUUAUGGUUCAUUGGAUCUUACCUUGUUUUACUUGGAUAACUGUGGUAAUUCUAGAGCUAAUACGUGAUACCCCAGCUCCGACCGCAAGGAAAGAGCGCUUUUAUUAGAUCAAAACCAAUCGGGCUUCGGUCCGUUCUCACUGUGGUGACUCUGAAUAACUUUGAGCUGAGCGCAUGGUCUUCGAACCGGCGCCAUAUCCUUCAAGUGUCUGCCUUAUCAGCUUUCGAUUGUAGGUUAUGCGCCUACAAUGGCUAUAACGGGUAACGGGGAAUCAGGGUUCGAUUCCGGAGAGGGAGCCUGAGAAACGGCUACCACAUCUAAGGAAGGCAGCCGGCACGCAAAUUACCCACUCCCGGCCCGGGGAGGUAGUGACGAAAAAUAACGAUGCGGGACUCUUCCGAGGCCUCGCAAUCGGAAUGAGCACACUUUAAAUCCUUUAACGAGGAUCUAUUGGAGGGCAAGUCUGGUGCCAGCAGCCGCGGUAAUUCCAGCUCCAAUAGCGUAUAUUAAAGUUGCUGCGGUUAAAAAGCUCGUAGUUGGAUCUCAGUUCCGGACCGACGGUUCACCGCCCGGUGCUUACUGUCGGCUUCCGAACAGCCGCACGCCGGCUCGGCCAGGGUGCUCUUCAUCGAGUGUCCUGGUUUCGGCCGGCACGUUUACUUUGAAAAAAUUAGAGUGCUCAGCGCAGGCUGCAACGCCUGAAUAAUCUGUGCAUGGAAUAAUGGAAUAGGACCUCGGUUCUAUUUUGUUGGUUUUCGGAACCCGAGGUAAUGAUUAAUAGGAACUGUCGGGGGCAUUCGUAUUGCGACGUUAGAGGUGAAAUUCUUGGAUCGUCGCAAGACGGACUACUGCGAAAGCAUUUGCCAAGAAUGUUUUCAUUAAUCAAGAACGAAAGUUAGAGGUUCGAAGCCGAUCAGAUACCGCCGUAGUUCUNACCAUAAACGAUGCCAACCAGCGAUCCGCCGGCGUUAUUCCCAUGACUCGGCGGGCAGCUUCCGGGAAACCAAAGUCUCUGGGUUCCGGGGGAAGUAUGGUUGCAAAGCUGAAACUUAAAGGAAUUGACGGAAGGGCACCACCAGGAGUGGAGCCUGCGGCUUAAUUUGACUCAACACGGGGAACCUCACCCGGCCCGGACACCGAAAGGAUUGACAGAUUGAUAGCUCUUUCUCGAUUCCGUGGGUGGUGGUGCAUGGCCGUUCUUAGUUGGUGGAGCGAUUUGUCUGGUUAAUUCCGAUAACGAACGAGACUCAAAA